AUACGGAGGGUGCAAGCGUUACUCGGAAUCACUGGGCGUAAAGCGCGCGCAGGCGGUCUUUUAAGUUGGAUGUGAAAGCCAACGGCUCAACCGUAGAACUGCAUCCAAAACUAUUAGACUAGAGUGUGGGAGAGGAAGAUGGAAUUAGUUGUGUAGGGGUAAAAUCCGUAGAGAUAACUAGGAAUACCAAAAGCGAAGGCAAUCUUCUGGAACACUACUGACGCUGAGGCGCGAAAGCGUGGGGAGCAAACAGGAUUAGAAACCCCAGUAGUCC
rnacentral:rRNA from 1 species